rnacentral:rRNA from 1 species
AGGGCGAUGAUGCAUAGCCGAGUUGAGAGACUGAUCGGCCACAUUGGGACUGAGACACGGCCCAAAACUCUACGGGGAGGCAGCAGUAGGAAUCUUCCACAAUGGACGCGAGUCUGAUGGAGCAACGCCGCGUGAGUGAAGUAAGGUUUUCGGAUCGUAAAAGCUCUGUUGUUGGUGAAGAAGGAUAGAGGUAGUAACUGGCCUUUAUUUGACGGUAAUCAACCAGAAGUCACGGCUAACUACGUGCCAGCAGCCGCGGUAAU